AGCGAACGCUGGCGGCAGGCCUAACACAUGCAAGUCGAACGAACCCUUCGGGGUUAGUGGCGGACGGGUGAGUAACACGUGGGAACGUGCCUUUAGGUUCGGAAUAACUCAGGGAAACUUGGACUAAUACCGGAUACGCCCUUCGGGGGAAAGAUUUAUCGCCGAAAGAUCGGCCCGCGUCUGAUUAGCUAGUUGGUGAGGUAAAGGCUCACCAAGGCGACGAUCAGUAGCUGGUCUGAGAGGAUGAUCAGCCACAUUGGGACUGAGACACGGCCCAAACUCCUACGGGAGGCAGCAGUUAGGAAUAUUGGACAAUGGAGGAAACUCUGAUCCAGCCAUGCCGCGUGAGUGAAGAAGGCCUUCGGGUUGUAAAACUCUUUUAGUCGUGACGAUGAUGACGGUAGCGACAGAAAAAGCUCCGGCUAACUUCGUGCCAGCAGCCGCGGUAACAC
rnacentral:rRNA from 1 species